rnacentral:miRNA from 1 species
AAUUGGUUAGAGGUGGUCGUCA